rnacentral:tRNA from 1 species
GGUUUGUAGCUCAGUUGGUAGAGCGCUCACCUAGCAAGUGUGAGGCACUGGGUUGGAUCUUCAGCACCA